GACGAACGCUGGCGGCGUGCUUAACACAUGCAAGUCGAACGGAAAGGCCCUGCUUUUGUGGGGUGCUCGAGUGGCGAACGGGUGAGUAACACGUGAGUAACCUGCCCUUGACUUUGGGAUAACUUCAGGAAACUGGGGCUAAUACCGGAUAGGAGCUCCUGCUGCAUGGUGGGGGUUGGAAAGUUUCGGCGGUUGGGGAUGGACUCGCGGCUUAUCAGCUUGUUGGUGGGGUAGUGGCUUACCAAGGCUUUGACGGGUAGCCGGCCUGAGAGGGUGACCGGCCACAUGGGGACUGAGAGACGGCCCAGACUCCUACGGGAGGCAGCAGUGGGAAAUAUUGCACAAUGGGCGGAAGCCUGAUGCAGCAACGCCGCGUGCGGGAUGACGGCCUUCGGGUUGUAAACCGCUUUCGCCUGUGACGAAGCGUGAGUGACGGUAAUGGGUAAAAAAGCACCGGCUAACUACGUG
rnacentral:rRNA from 1 species